rnacentral:lncRNA from 1 species
UUUUUUUUUUGCAUUUUGAUUGUGUCUUUUUAACACACUCUAGAUCUCUAGAAUUGUACCAGCUCUCUGUUUCUCUCUCUCUCUCUCUCUCUCUCUCUCUGCAGGCGUAUCAGUAUCGUUUGUACACUCAGGAGUUGAUACAGGUGGGUGAUGAGGUGUCUUUCCUCCUGCUGCUUCCCCCCAGUGAGGAGUUCAGUUCCAGUUUAUGGCCAUUAGAGGGCGCUCAGGACGCCAGACUCACCAUGCCGCUGCACAUCUUUGAGCUGGUGCAUUUUUGGGUGUACAGUCGGGAGCUGCUGUGCCUGUACUGUGAGGCGUGGGUUAAGCUGGAGCUGGAUGUGUAUCUUUGCCAGCAGGCUUUACGAGAGGCACUGGACAGCAGGGAGAUCUCAGAGGCCAGAGACAGACUAGCACACAUCACACAGCUCUCUCAGAGUGUGGAGGCUGUGUGGCGUGAGCGGAGGUGGAUAAUGGACGUGAUGCAGUGUGUCCGCUCACGACAGCGUUUGGGGGCGGUGCCUCUACACCUCAUCAUGGGCUCACAGCCAGUCAAAAAAGAAGAGGGUGGACGAUUCCCCAUCUUGUUACAAACACAUACUCACACACCUGGCACAGCAGGGGGCACUGUUUGCUCUUCAGAGGCCCUCUCUCACACAGCCACACCACCUGUGAACAUCCCAGGGAUCACUGCGAGGGAACAGUCACACCUGUGCCUGCCCCCUCUAUCCUACUCAGACUGCACUGCCACCAGCCACAGCAUCCCCGACACCCGGCACCAAGAAAACCAACCCUGUAGCCACAGCAGCACCACCUUCCACCACAGCGGCAUCGGCAUCCACCACAUCCACUCCUGUCCAGAGUUUCCCACUUUUCCCUCAUCCUCCCUGUCCAUUUCAGUGGAGGAGGAGGAGGAGGAGGAGGAGGAAAAGUGUGAUGAAGAACAGAAUCGUGGAGACAGAGCUGUGGAGUUAUUACAGGCUCUGGACCUUCAGGAGGAACAUAUUGAGAUAAUGUAUGAUCUGGAUUCAGCGGUAAGUGAAAACAGACCACACCGAAACGUUUUAACAAACUUAGAAACGCACUUCUAGAGUUAGAGGCACUGAUCUAGAGUCACUUCAUAAUUGUAAAACAGUAAGAGACACUGAUCUAGAGUCAGUUCACAAUUCUAAUCUAGUCAGAGACACUGAUCUAUUGUAAUUUCUCCAUUAUGAUACAGUCAGAGACACUGAUCUAGAGUCAGUUCACAGUUCUAAUAUAGUCAGAGACACUGAUCUAGAGUAGGUUUUUAGUUUUAAUAUAUUAAGGGACACUGAACUAGCCUUUUAUAGGGCAGCAGGGGAAGCAUUUUUACAAGACCCAAUGCCUGCAUGUAGAUAAAAAAGGAAAAUACACAAAACAUAAAACAACACAGCAAACACAAUAAAUACAUUACAUAUGUAAAUAUACA